AGGUUGGAGCUGCUGAGCCAAAGGUGGCUGACCUUGUUGCAGGCCUAUUUGCUGUUGCUGACCUUGUUGCGGGCCUUUUUGCUGUUGCUGACCUUGUUGCGGGCCUUUUUGCUGUUGCUGACCUUGUUGCGGGCCUAUUUGCUGUUGCUGACCUUGUUGCGGGCCUAUUUGCUGUUGCUGACUUGGGAACUGGACUCCCUGAGGUGGCUGACCUUGUUGCGAGCCUUUUUGCUGUUGCUGACCUUGAUGCGGGCCUUUUUGCUGCUGCUGACCUUGUUGCGGGCCUUUUUGCUGUUGCUGACCUUGUUGUGGGCCUUUCUGCUGUUGCUGACUUUGGUGCGGGCCUUUCUGUUGUUGCUGACUAGAGAACUGGACUCCCUGAGGUGGCUGACCUUGAUAAGGACCACUUUGGGGUGGCUGACCUCUACCAUGAGAACUCUGUUGACCAACAUGCUGACCUCUGCCUACAGAACCUGAAUGGUACUGUUGACCAGGCUGGCCUCUUCCUACAGAGCCUGAAGGGUACUGUUGACCAGGCUGGCCUCUGCCUACAGAACCUGAAUGGUACUGUUGACCAGGCUGGCCUCUGCCUACAGAGCCUGAAUGGUACUGUUGAUCAGGCUGGCCUCUGCCUAUAGAACCUGAAUGGUACUGUUGACCAGCCUGGCCUCUGCCUACAGAACCUGAUUGGUACUGUUGACCGGACUGACCCUGUGACUGGCCAGACCCAGACCCAGGCUGACUUGGCUGCUGAGCUCCUGCAGGUUGUUGGCCAUCAGAAGUCGCUGGAUCUCCUUGAGAUGGGCCAGACUGCUGUUUCCCUGAAAUAAAUAUAAAAAACAGUUAAAACUUACUCACGGCUGAUGCUGCGUAGGCCUAUUCAUUUGUUUCGUCUGUUUAUUUGUUAGCUACUUUAAAUGGCUCCAAAAGGCUGAUGUUGUGCUUCGAUCCCGCCUUAACAACCCCAACCUCAGGCAGUCCUUGCAUCAGACCAUUAAGCUCAAAACGUUUGAAUUUGAAUCAAACCCUGAUAUUUUUAUUCAAAGAGCAAUAAGUGCUACAACUAGGAACUUAUGCAGGAAUUUACCCAAGAACUCCUGGCUGAAAUCUACUUUUUCAGGAAUUUUGAAAGUACAUAUAUACACUGUAAUCACUCUCACUUUGGAGGGCCACAAAGAAAAUUCCUGUAGAUUCCAGAUUCUUAUUCCUGGCACUCAACCUAUGUGAGAAAUUUUGAUUCCUAGUUAUGGAAUCAUCAGAUUUAAUUUUUCAAUAGUAGGUACUUAAAAAAAUACUCUAAUUUCUUAGGCUCAUGAGAGAGUCAAGAAAUGCAGAGAAAUGAUGGAAACUCAGGAUGAAAAUUUUCAAAACGCUAAGAUGUCAGCAAGGUCUAAUUGUAAUUUAAACAUCUAAAAUUCUACAUUAGAAAGUAUAUAAUACGUCUACUUCAUUGUUAUUACUUACUGGUGAUUUUAGGGGCCGUCCAUAGAUAAGGUACAUCACCCAUUUUUUUCAAUUUUUUGACUUCCACCUCCCUCACCUUAUCCAACCGUCAUCCACUGCUAAGACCUCUCUCUUAAAAUUACGUCAUCCUUAGCAUGCCCCCCCCCCCCUCUAUAUAGGGGCAAAACGCAGAAAAUCUAUAGAUAUAGUCUGCAACAUUAAGAACAUGAUUCAUUUCUUUUCUUGAGUAUUAAAUAUAUGUUAUGUUCUUUUGAAAUGGAAAAGAAUUACGGCCACAAUAUAUUACUAGCUGAAAAAUUAAACAUCGCAAAUAUUGCUUUCAGAAGACUUGGAAUCAUUUAUUGAACAAAAUUGAGUAAAAUAAAAUAGAAAAUCAAACUUCAAGCAAGCAUUUUGAGUCUUUUUGUCUUCAGGAGAGCUUACGUCAUCUUUUGCUUGACCCCUCCUUCCUCCACUGUCAUCGCCCGCUAGAUGAACCCACCCCCAUACUUGGUGACAAAAUUUAUGGACGGCCCCUUAGGGAGCCCUUUAAAUAAACUGGAAAAAAGAUUUGUGAUAUUAUUUUUCUAAUUCUUGAUCUAGCAAAAAUGAUGGUGAAAACAACCAAUACAAAAAAUCAAGAGUUUUGAAAGGUAAAAAUAGAGAUCAGUUACUUUUCUAUCAGAAUUUCAAGUUCAAAAUUAUAUAAAGUAAGUUAAGACAACUGUACCUUUUUUCCUUUCGCCAUUUUUCAUUGAUUUAUACUUGAUUCGGAACCUGUAAAUAGAAUGAAGAAUAUUAAACUAAGCAAAUCAUACUAUUUGAGAUGAUUUCUCUGCUCCAAAAAGCAAUUUAAACCCCUCCCCCCUUCAAAAAAGAAAAUGGCGCAUCUCUGAGGUAGGAAAUUUGGGCAUUGAACAUGCGGCAAAUAAGUUGACAGCUGUUUACUUCCCAUUUGGAGGCAGCUGAGCUCCCAGUAUCCAAUGGCGAUAAGGAAUUAACCAUGGGCGUUAUCAUUGCUGUGUAAAGGUGUAUGUAUAAAACUGCUAACUUGUGUGACAAUACAUCUGAUGCGUUUCCUCUUAGGUAUGAGAAUUUCUGUUCGGCAGAAGAUUGCACCAGCAGCAACCUGAUUAAAUGUCAAAAUCAUUGAUUCUCGUCUGCUAUAAGGGGCGUUUAAUCUCUCUUCCACUCGUUUCAGUAUUAAUUGUGGUGCUAGAGUAAUAGGAAUCUGUAGAUCUGAAGUUAUGAAAACAUCUUUCUCUUUAAAACCGACGACUGGUGAAGAUUAAGACGUCGCAUCUGAAAGUGACCUCAGCAAGUCAUGGCACCUUCUAAAGAAAUAUGAUAUCAUUGACAAUAGUUUAAAACUCUGUGUUCAGACUAGAAAAACACAUACUUUGGAAGGUACUCAUUUGAUCCAUAAAAUUUACUUAUUUGAACAGCAGAAAUCCUUCGAGUUGCCCCAAAAUAGCGAGUGAGACUCCAGGAUAGAAAAGUCAUAAUACCUAAUCCAAGAAAAUUAACAAUCGUUGUUCCAAAACUUGUUAUUGACCAGAUGUUUGAUAAAAGGAAAAAGAAUUAAGUAUAAAGGAUAGUAACACAACUGUCACACACAACUGUCGGUUAUUCUGUUCCAAAACUUAGGAUUCUUCGACUAUACCAUGAAGACCUGGCUGCCUAAAACUAACCUCGAGGAAGUGAUGUUUUGGGUAUUAAACUCAAUUCCUUACCAAGACUAUAAAAUUCUGAUGAUCAAAGCACAGCUUACAACUUCUUCUUGAAAAAAAGAAACAACUGAAUAAAAUUCUGAUAAGCUUGAUUGAUACGCAGAAACAAAUUGAUACCACAAAGAAAACAAUUCCUUGCCAAAUGGCACUAAUGGACGUUCGCUUCGUUCGCACAUAAACAUACGACUCAUAUGAGAUAUUUCGUCAUCCUACUCUUCUAGCCAAUCAGAAUUCAGAGGAGAGAACUAGAUUCAGUUCAGUUCAUUCAAUUUAUUUCAUUCCAAAUAACGUAAUUCUGGACCGGAAACCAUAGC
rnacentral:lncRNA from 1 species